rfam:Nicotiana attenuata strain TT chromosome 9, whole genome shotgun sequence.
GUCUCUUUCGUCCAAUAGUUAGAACAUCGUCUAUACCGAAGACACGGGUUCGAUUCCCUUAAGAGAAA